GUCCGCACCGUAACGAUGAUUACUCGUUGUUGGCAAUAUGACCGUCAGCGACCAAGCGAAGCGAUAAGUAAUCCACCUGGGAGUACGCCGGCAACGGUGAACUCAAAGGAAUUGACGGGGCCCGCACAAGCGGAGGAGCAUGUGGUUUAAUUCGAUGAUACGCGAGGAACCUUACCUGGGCUUGAAAGUUAGUGACCGGUUCUGAAAGGAACUUUUUCCGCAAGGACACGAAACUAGGUGCUGCAUGGCUGUCGU
rnacentral:rRNA from 1 species